GUAUAUGCAAGUAAGUGUGUUUUUAGUUUAGUUGUGUGGGUUAGUGUUCCAACAAGGUCACUAAUGAUCUAUUUUCACACACAAUAAAAUAGAAUGAAAUGACAUAAAACAUAAUAAUAUUAAAUUUUCUUUAAUUUGCAACAAAAGUAAUAGUAUUCAGCAGGGAAGAAAAGAAGCACAUGCAUAAGAACAAUUUGAAGAAGAAAGCCUUCCAGUUGGAAAUAUGAGAAAGGAUUAAGGUUUUAAAAGCUUGGUGCUAAGCUGAGUGCAGCCUCCAGUCCGUUUGUGCAGUGAUGUGCAUGUACUGCACAUAAAUUUAGCACAAAACACCUGUGAGGGCGGUUUGUGCUGUGAUUAUGGGUAUGAUGUUUUCUCAGUGUGUGGGAGGGACAGCUACAGGCUCUUAUAUGGUUACCAACAUACGGUGAAGUUUCCUUUAAGCUUGUGUACAAACAGUACAGAGAAAUAAAAGAGCAGAACGCUGGAGAAUCUGAAGGAUUGCUGACUGACUCCCUGGAAAUAUCAAAGGAAGGAGAGCAGCACAGAAUCAGAGCUACUGUUUAUGUGAAAUCCCAGUGCUAAAAAGAUUAUGGACAGACUCCUUUGAAAUGGAACAGUAUACGAUGACCAGAGUUAAAUUGACGUGACUUUUAAAGGUGCACACGAACUGCAUCUAGAUCUUUAUCUGUAUCUAGUGAUAUCUGCUGGUGUUCUUUGGUCAGGUGUCAGUGAACAAUCAUAGUUUUAUUUGUUUUAUUUUUAUUUUAUUUAUAUAAUUUUAAAUAAUGUAAAACACAGAAAAACAGCAAAACAGAGGCUGGAGCCAAUGGGUAUUGUCAACAACUAUAACAGGGAUUUAUUGUCCCUGUUGAUGUAUGUUAAUUUUUUUGUCAAAUGGAUGGCUCCCUGUUUUUAUUAUUUACUAAUGUUGUAUUGUUAUUAUUUUUGGCUUUCUAUUGACAAAGCAAAGAAAUAUUGACUAGUUAAAUAAUAAAUCAGACAAACUGUAAUUUCAUAACUGAGGUAAAUAAUAAUGACAAACCUGUAUCAAAUGUGUUAUCAAGAAAAUGGCAAGGAAAAGACAGUAUUAGUCUAAUACAUCUUGACUCAAGGAGUCAGAUAAUCUUAAAAAUUUCAGUGAUAUCUUUCUCAAAUCACUCGCUUCCUCCCAUUUGUUGUUGAUUUCCUGCAGCUACAAGUUUGAUUAGUGUGUUUCUGUUGACCAUUAGAUGGAGCCAGAAGCCACUUCAUUCACUUAAGACCUUUUCCCACAAGGCUGUUUGGGCAUUUGGGGGAAAUUUAAUCGGUGUCUUGGCACAGAUGCUGCAUCAGGGGAGAGCGAGGCAGGCCAGCACGCCUAAAUGAUGCUUGAUGAUGAGGCUUUAGCAGAAAAUGAUAGAUUUCCACUGGCAGCUGACUGUCAGCAGGUGUACACUGUGCCAGCAUCCAGUGAAUAUGUUGAUCGUUGACUCUCAUUUAUGGCAUUACUGCUUGUGUGUGUGUGUGCUUGCAAGCAUUCAGGCAUGGCAUCUGCCUACAAAUGUUUAAGUAAUUAUGUGUCUUUAUGCACUAAGUAAUUGUAAUUUGUCUCUGUUUGGCUGUAGAGGCGACUUUGUCUUAGGAUGUUUGUGUGUUUUACAAGAGCUUUUACAGAGUCGCACGAUGCAAAGUAGCAUGGAAUUAACAAGAGGAAACAGCUAGUAAAGUGUCAUUUAGCAGAGAGGACGAGGCAAGGUGAGGGAGGGAGACUGAAAAACACAACAGCGCCAUAGGAAACAUGACUGGGGGACGGAGAGUGAGAGAGCGAGAGAGAGAGGGAGUCGGCAGCACACCGGCUGACAAAAAGCGAGGGGAGAGUCUGGAGGAGUGAAAAGAAGAAGAUAAAAGAGAGGCAGGGAGAGGAGGACACAGGCUAGUAUUUAAAUCUCGGACUGCAUUGCCAUGGCAACAAGCAGGUACAGGGUACCCACAAAGGAGUUUUGGGCAGCAGAGUCGGAUCAUCCUUUUCUGUCUGACUGAUUGGCUGGCCAGCUGACUGUCUCUGUGGUCAUUUUGUUGACUAAGCGGCUGACCUUUUCAUUCGGUGACUAACUGAACUUACUGACUGACUAAGAGGCUUCGAGAGAUGUCGGUCGCACUUAAAGAGAUAUGAUGUUAAAAUACGAGAGAGCAGCAAGCACACAUCGAGGGACAAGAGAACAGUUAUAAGAUAUGUGGUUAGUUAUGCUCGUUUAGAAAAUUAUUUGCAAACUUAUUCUCCUGUUGCAGAUCUAACAGCAAAGCUCCAGCGUUGCAGAGCAGUCAGAGUAGAACCUGUGGUUUUUGACAUGUGGAUGGGAGUGUUGCAGAUUUUUUUCUGGCUGCUCUGAAAGGCCUUGAAGCAUCAUUUAGCCCCUAAGGCAGCAAACAUUCAAUUGAAGCCAACUGUGGCCAAUUAUACGCUAUACUGGCAGACUAGUAGGCAGGUUGGGGGGGUGGGGGGCUUUCUGGCCUGGCUGGUGGUGCGCAAUUGACUGCAGUUACACAAAAGCACACUCACAGACGCAUACAAAGACACAUACACACACUCAUAUGUGCAGAUACAUGUAGAUACGGAAGCAGCGGAGACUUGUGAAUUAACAGGUGGUGGUUACCUGCUGCUCCAUCCUGUUCCUUCCUCUCCUUCCUUCUCUUCUUUCCUCAGCCAGAACUCAUUGAUCAGUCGUCUGUUGAUUCCUGCACACUGAGAUGGGAUCAAUCAGCUCUGGGUCGUUCCUCCUUCCCAGACCUCCUCUCCUCUCCUGCACAUGAGUUUCUCUUUUCAUUUAGAUGCAGCAGACCCCCCUCCCCACCUCUCUUUCUCACUCCCUCUCGGCCUCAGUUUUCUCGCCUCCGCAUUCGCCUUCCUCCCUUUGUGGCGUUGUCGCCCCCCCCCCCCCCCCGCAACAUUUCAAUCAUGUUCUGAAAUAAAAGGCUUUGUUGGAACACAGA